rnacentral:rRNA from 1 species
AGCUUGCUGGGUACUCGAGUGGCGAACGGGUGAGUAACACGUGGGUGAUCUGCCCUGCACUCUGGGAUAAGCCUGGGAAACUGGGUCUAAUACCGGAUAUGACCAACUGUCGCAUGGUGGUUGGUGGAAAGCUUUUGCGGUGUGGGAUGGGCCCGCGGCCUAUCAGCUUGUUGGUGGGGUAAUGGCCUACCAAGGCGACGACGGGUAGCCGACCUGAGAGGGUGAUCGGCCACACUGGGACUGAGACACGGCCCAGACUCCUACGGGAGGCAGCAGUGGGGAAUAUUGCACAAUGGGCGCAAGCCUGAUGCAGCGACGCCGCGUGAGGGAUGACGGCCUUCGGGUUGUAAACCUCUUUCACCAGGGACGAAGCGUGAGUGACGGUACCUGGAGAAGAAGCACCGGCCAACUACGUGCCAGCAGCCGCGGUAAUACGUAGGGUGCGAGCGUUGUCCGGAAUUACUGGGCGUAAAGAGCUCGUAGGCGGUUUGUCGCGUCGUCUGUGAAAUUCUGCAACUCAAUUGCAGGCGUGCAGGCGAUACGGGCAGACUUGAGUACUACAGGGGAGACUGGAAUUCCUGGUGUAGCGGUGAAAUGCGCAGAUAUCAGGAGGAACACCGGUGGCGAAGGCGGGUCUCUGGGUAGUAACUGACGCUGAGGAGCGAAAGCGUGGGUAGCGAACAGGAUUAGAUACCCUGGUAGUCCACGCCGUAAACGGUGGGUACUAGGU